rnacentral:rRNA from 1 species
AUGGUGGUUGCCAUCGGAGGUUGCUCCUACGCUGGCCUUCUUUCCUUCAGCCAGCCGCUCGGCUUCACGUUUAGCAGUGGUCGUCGCCGUCACGUCCUGGCCGUCGGCGACGCGCUGUCGCUGCUCGAGGCCUCCUCCUCCCCGUCGACCUUCUUUGCGGCUCCGGUCGGGGCCUGGUAUGGAUCGGCGCACGCGUUAGCUGGGCUUACUUCGGCGUGGCUGUCUACAUCAUCGAGUUCAGCUGCGGGCUCCUCACCAGCACGCAUGGAGUGCAGACGGUUGUUCUUGCUCCUUUCGUCAUUUAAUUCGCUCUUUCUCGACCUCCAAUUGAUUCUCUGCUAG